AUUGAACGCUGGCGGCAGGCCUAACACAUGCAAGUCGAACGGUAGCACAGAGAGCUUGCUCUCGGGUGACGAGUGGCGGACGGGUGAGUAAUGUCUGGGAAACUGCCCGAUGGAGGGGGAUAACUACUGGAAACGGUAGCUAAUACCGCAUAACGUCGCAAGACCAAAGUGGGGGACCUUCGGGCCUCACACCAUCGGAGGUGCCCAGAUGGGAUUAGCUAGUAGGUGGGGUAAUGGCUCACCUAGGGGACGAUCCCUAGCUGGUCUGAGAGGAUGACCAGCCACACUGGAACUGAGACACGGUCCAGACUCCUACGGGAGGCAGCAGUGGGGAAUAUUGCACAAUGGGCGCAAGCCUGAUGCAGCCAUGCCGCGUGUAUGAAGAAGGCCUUCGGGUUGUAAAGUACUUUCAGCGGGGAGGAAGGCGGUGAAGUUAAUAGCUUCACCGAUUGACGUUACCCGCAGAAGAAGCACCGGCUAACUCCGUGCCAGCAGCCGCAGUAA
rnacentral:rRNA from 1 species